UACGGAGGGUGCGAGCGUUAUCCGGAUUCACUGGGGUUAAAGGGUGCGUAGGUGGGAACGUAAGUCAGUGGUGAAAUCUCUGAGCUUAACUCAGAAACUGCCAUUGAUACUAUGUUUCUUGAAUUUUCUGGAGGUCAGCGGAAUAUGUCAUGUAGCGGUGAAAUGCUUAGAUAUGACAUAGAACACCAAUUGCGAAGGCAGCUGGCUACAGGGAUAUUGACACUGAGGCACGAAAGCGUGGGGAUCAAACAGG
rnacentral:rRNA from 1 species